UCCCCCGGCAGUGCCCUCUCUCCCCGGAAGUGCCCUCACCCGGCGGCCUCGCCCUCGCCCCAGUCUCCGGUGGCCUCGCACGCUCUCUGGGCGCGCCGGCAGCUCGUUCUGGCGUGGCUGAGCGUAGUUCAGGCCUCGGGAGCCAGGCCGGAGCGUUUCCCCCAGUCUCGCUUGCGGCGCGGACUGGCGCCCUCCACCUUGCGGCCCGUUCAGGGCCUGGCAGGCUGGAGGAAGUUAUGUACAGCAGUGAAUGAAUUGACAGCAAAUUGAUACUUGGCGCAGCCACAAUCCGUCUUCAGGGGACAACAAAGGCAGAGGCUGAAAACCGUCUCUAAGACACUAAGAAGGAAACCAGACAGGCUCGGCAUCCGGACGCCGGUCGGUGGCCCCGUGGGUGCUUGUGCGAUCGGAGGCAGUGCUUCGUCUCCAGGACAAGUGGACAUCUUUGUGGCACCAGCACUCCGGGUUCUGUGGAAAUAGAGAUUUCUGAAAACCGCGCGAGUCAAGGAUAGAAGCUGAAUGCAGUGGGCUGGGGCCGGGGCCAGGUCAGGCCAGAGCGCUGGCUUUCCUCCUACUUGCUGAGUGACAGUCGCUUCCUGAUGCAAGGAGCAGGGUGUUUUCAGUCAGGGAGCCUGCGGCAGCCAGGUGCACAUUCCCUGUUCCACCGACGGACAGAACAGCGGCAGGGUGCUUGGCACCGUGGAGCCACCGGACAGUGGACUUGUGGCGGGUCCACGUCUGGUCCCGGUGUUUCCUCCAGCAUGAUCAGAAGGCAGACUGAGAGCCCACGGUGAGGGAGAGAAAGCACCUCCCAACCCCGUGUGCACGCGGGCAGACACACAGGACACACCGGCAGCCUCCAGUCGCACAUCGAAUUUGCCGCUCGGCCAGACGAAGGCCACUGGCUCAGCCUGUGGGCCGAGGUCAGCAGAGACAGACGGGCACAGGACUCUGCGUCAUGGACGCUGGCCAGGCAGGUGCCGUCCUGACUGCUGGUACGUGGCGAGCUCCGCCUCACCAGGCUCUCGUUUCCAGUCUGUCCGGGCUGUGCUGGAGACACCGUCCAGGCUGCUUCUCCCGUGCACACACGCACUCAUGUGUCAGGGCACACGGGGACACGAGCACAGCACCAGGUGCUCCUGAGACCAAGGACUCAACACCUCCGGGUCAGCCACGUGGCCACUGCGCUGGCAAGGACGUCCUGCUGUCACCUGGCCCUGACAGAUCCGGAGGGUCUGGUCAGGAAGGCAAGCAGGGGGCACCCCUGUUCCAGGCAGACCCCCCUUCUCCCUGGACCCCUUCCCUGUGCGUGAGUGGCCCACCCCUCGUUACAGGACGAAAGCUCAGAGCUUCGGGGCAGGCGCCUGCGCACACUUCCUGAAGAAGCUGCUGCCCUGGACGCGGGGCCGGGGUGGAGGCCACAGGUCAGCGAGACCAGGCCGCCUUCCCCAGGAGCCCUGCGCCCCUCGGUGGACUCACGGCGGCUGGGCAGUUCUCCCGUGGCGAUCUUCUCCCAGCCGCUUCUCGUCAUGCAGUCACAUCUCACCAGCUAACAGAACAAGAACCCUGCUGUCCAGAAAGCUGUAGCACAUCCAAGCCCAAGCCCAGCCUUUCCGGGGUGCGACUCCAGCGUCUGAACAGGCCCCCGCCCGACCUGAGGUGACCUGAGGUGAGGGUCAGGAAGCACCGCCUGCGCUGUCUGGGACUCCUCCCGCCUCCCCCUCCCCUGCCCCGACUCUGGCAGGGAGCCCUUGGACUUGCCGCUGGACUGAGCACGGAGCUACACUGGGAUGGACAGCGGAGCAGGAGGGCUACUGCAGCUGUGGAACGCACUGACUCUUUGAGAAUCACACUGGCAGGAGUGAGCUCCAUCUGUGGAAACCCUCAGAAUUGUUUUAGUAAGUCAUUUCCUCGGUGAGCACCGGCCUUCCUCCCACAGAGCUGCGUUUAGCCACAAGGAGAGGCACCCAUCACACGCGGACACCACAGAACCCACAGCGACUCUGAGG